rnacentral:rRNA from 1 species
UACGGGGGGUGCGAGCGUUGUCCGGAAUCACUGGGCGUAAAGGGCGCGUAGGUGGUUUGAUAAGGGUGUGGUGAAAGUCCGGGGCUCAACCCCGGAUCUGCCGUGCCGACUGUCAAACUCGAGGACUGUAGAGGCAGACGGAAUUCCGGGUGUAGCGGUGGAAUGCGUAGAGAUCCGGAGGAAUACCGAUGGCGAAGGCAGCCUCCUGGGCCAACACUGACGCUCAUGCACGAAAGCGUGGGGAGCAAACAGG